rnacentral:rRNA from 1 species
UGAGGAAUAUUGGUCAAUGGACGCAAGUCUGAACCAGCCAAGUAGCGUGCAGGAUGACGGCCCUAUGGGUUGUAAACUGCUUUUAUAUGGGGAUAAAGUGGGGAACGUGUUCCCUUUUGCAGGUACCAUAUGAAUAAGGACCGGCUAAUUCCGUGCCAGCAGCCGCGGUAAUACGGAAGGUUCGGGCGUUAUCCGGAUUUAUUGUGUUUAAAGGGAGCGUAGGCCGUUUGGUAAGCGUGUUGUGAAAUGUAGGAGCUCAACUUCUAGAUUGCAGCGCGAACUGUCAGACUUGAGUGCGCACAACGUAGGCGGAAUUCAUGGUGUAGCGGUGAAAUGCUUAGAUAUCAUGACGAACUCCGAUUGCGCAGGCAGCUUACUGUAGCAUAACUGACGCUGAUGCUCGAAAGUGCGGGUAUCAAACAGG